CCUACGGGCGGCAGCAGUGAGGAAUAUUGGUCAAUGGGCGCAAGCCUGAACCAGCCAAGCAGCGUGAAGGAUGACUGCUCUACGGGUUGUAAACUUCUUUUAUACAGGAAUAAAAUGAGGCACGUGUACCUUUUUGUAUGUACUUUAUGAAUAAGGAUCGGCUAACUCCGUGCCAGCAGCCGCGGUAAUACGGAGGAUCCGAGCGUUAUCCGGAUUUAUUGGGUUUAAAGGGUGCGUAGAUGGUUUGUUAAGUCAGUUGUGAAAGUUUGCGGCUCAACCGUAACAUUGCCAUUGAUACUGGAAGUCUUGAGUACAGAUGAGGUAGGCGGAAUUCGUGGUGUAGCGGUGAAAUGCUUAGAUAUCACGAAGAACCCCGAUUGCGAAGGCGGCUUACUAAACCGCAACUGACACUGAUGCCCGAAAGUGUGGGUAUCAAACAGGAUUAGAUACCCCUGUAGUC
rnacentral:rRNA from 1 species